UAUCAGUGUUCGAUUCACUGAGGAAUUAAUGUAAAGGAAGUUGACUGAGUGGUCGAUAGUGGCUGUCUUGAGUACAGUUAAGGAGAAAUUCUUCAUAGGUUCGAAUCCUAUACUUUCUGAAUUGUACAGAUCUUAGUUUAAUUAGUAAAACUCAUUCUUUGGGAGAAUGUGUUCUGAGUGCAAUUCUCGGAGAUCUGAUUAAAAAUUUAAUGCUUAUAUAUGCAUUAAAAAAAUAUAAGAAAUAUAAUUGAUACGAAAUAAAAAUUUAUACAUAAAUAUGUAAGUAUAUAAAGAGACUAUUAAAACAAAUAAUAGCUAUGUAUUAAAGAGGUUUAUAUUUAUCUCAGCAAUUAGGAUAAUAAACUCUAAGAGAAAUCAGAUAGUAAACAAAGCGAAUUGAAUUAUCUUAUUAGCUUUAGGAAAAAAAAUCAAAAGAGAUUCUAUGAUUAGCGUGAGCAAAAAUAGAAAAGUCUAAAUAAUAAGUAAAAUGACUAUAAAGUUGUUUGAAUUAUAUGGGGAACCUUCCUCAAAGACUAAAUAUAAUACAUAAGCGAUAGUGAAUAGUACCGUGAGGGAAAUUAAGAAGAAUAGUAGUUUUAUAAGCAGCUCGAGCGAAAGCAAGAGCGUACCUUUUGCAUAAUGGGUCACCAAGUUAAUUUUAGAUGCGAGCUAAUUAAAAUGCGUAGUUAAACCGAUCAUAUAAAAAAUGAAAAGUAUCUAAAAUUAGACCCGAAGUACAGUGAUCUUACUAUAGUCAGGAUUAUAAAGGUCCGAACGGGUUAUCGUUGCAAAGAUAUCCGAAGAAUUAUGGUAAGUAUAGUGAAAGACAAUCCGUGACUGUAUUAGCUGGUUUUCUGCGAAACCUAUAAUAGUAGGCAAUUUAAGUAACAUCUUAGCAGGUACAGAACUUAAUCUCAGACAAAGUGUAAAAAAUACACUUUAUUUUGUAUAGAUCGGGGGAUCGUGAAGAUUUUACCGGUGAGUUUGUGGACUCGAAAUGGUAAAGAUGAAUCUUAAAUUAUCAGACAUAGAAUGAUAAGGUUGUAUGUCAAAAGGGAAACAGCCCAGAACAAGAGUUAAGGUUCCAAAAUUAUUAUUAAGUGAAAUUAAGAAGGUUUUUAUCUAAGUCGACAAGGAGAUUGGCUUAGAAGCAGCCAUAAUUUAAAGAUCUCGUAUCAGAGCACUUGUUAAAUUUUUAAAAGCAUCGAAAAUUUAACGGAUCUAAAUAAUAUACCGAUACCUUGUCUAUAAAUAGUAAUAAUAAUUAUUGUUUAUGGGGUAGCAGAACGUUGAGUUAAUAUUGGUGUUCUUUUUUAUAAAAAGAAUAAUAUUAUAACUCAAGUGAGAAUGGUGACAUGAGUAAUGAAAAAGAAUUUUCUAUAUUAUUUAUAUAGAAAAAUACUCGCCUAAAGCUUAUGGUCAAGAUAAGUAACGGCCUCUAAGUUUAUAACCUGAAGGUUAAAAUGAUGAGAAAAUCUUAUUACUAAUGAUGACGACAUUUUAAAGUGUAAAAUGUACAGGAAAUAAUCAGUAAUAUUGUAUUUAAUAUACAAAAACAACCGUUCCUAGGGACUAAAACAAGUAAGCUAGUAGAGAAUACGAAGGCGCAUGAGAUAACAAUCUUAAAGGAACUCGGCAAAUUGACUACCGUAACUUCGGGAUAAGGAGGGCUCAUUACUCCUGAUUAAUAUCAGGUAAAAAGGAAGAAGCAUAAAAUAAUGUUGUACGACUGUUUAAUUAAAACAAAGCACUUUGCAGAAAGAUGAUAAAUCUAAGUAUUGAGUGUGAUGUCUGCCCAAUUCCGGCUGGUUAACGAAAAAUUCUAAAUUUUAACAAUUUGGUUUUUAAGGAACCCCCGGUCAAUGGCGGCCUUAACGUGAGGGUCCUAAGGUAGCGAAAUGCCUUGGCCGUUAAAUGCGGUCUUGCAUGAAUGAUGUAACGAUACAACAGCUGUCUCUAAGAUUGACUCAGUGAAAUUGGAAUAACUGUGCAGAUACAGUUUACCUCUAGGUAGACGAGAAGACCCUAUGCAGCUUUACUGUUACUAAUUAUUGGGUAUAAUUCAAACAAAUUUUAGUUUAGAAGGUUCAUUGAUUAGAUAAAAGUGAAAGACCUUUAUUUGUUUAUUAUAUUAUAAACCUUUAAUAUAUAGGAACAUUUGUUAGAAGACAGUUUAUGUGGGGCACAGACCCCUUAAAGAGUAAAAGGGUGUAUCUAAAAUUAUAACUUAUACUAAAAUAUAAGUUUAUUUUAUUUUUUUAUUGUUUGUUAUUUUUUUAACUUUGUUAUAUUUAAUCAUAUUUUUUGUGUAUAUUUAUAUACAUGGUGUUAGGUAAGAUUUUUCCUAUUGAGAAAUUAGUUGUAGCAAAAAAUAUUAGUGUAAAUACAAUAUUUUAUAUAGUUAUUAUGAUUUAUAGUCAUUAAUAAUCAUGUUAAAUACUUAUAAAGUUGAAUGGCUUAAUCUUGCUUUACUGUUUGAUUCACAACAAAUCUUACAGUCGCGUAAGCGGGGCAUUAGAUCACAAGAUACAACAAGGAAAGGUCUUGGAUUAUUGGAAAAGCUACGCUAGGGAUGUUUGUCCUUCAAUAUUUUUUAAUAAUUGAUACAUAUAUUGGGUUAAUUUCAAGAAUUACUUAUAGUAUAAAUAAGUAAAUUUGAAGCGAAGUUUAUUUUGGUUAAAAAUAAAAUUGUUCAACGACUAAAGGUGAGCUAUAUAGCAAUAAUCCUUUAUUAAUACCCAACAUUCUUUUUUAUUAAAUAAGUUAGUUUUAAUAAUAAUAUUAAAAUUAUAAAUGCAAAACAU
rnacentral:sRNA from 1 species